AUCGGGCGGGAAGGAGUUGUGAGCUUCGUGUGGGAACGCGGAGUUUAUUAACACGAAAAAUAUCCAGAAAAUAUCUUGGGUAUGAGUAAAAGAAAGAUGUCAAUUCCUGCAAUUGAAUAAAGAGAAAAUGGAAGAUUGUUACCUGUUGCAGGAACACUGAGAAAGAAAUGUUUCCAAGCUGGGAAGGACCAGAAUACAGACACGAUGGAAAUAGAAUGCAACACUGCGACUCAAAGACAAGGCACAGAGGGAAUUGCCAUGGAACCUGGAGAGGAUGAAGAACCAGUAACCAUAAACCACAAUCUGGAAUGUAAAAA